rnacentral:rRNA from 1 species
UUUGGUGGCGAUGGCGGAGGGGUUCCACGCGUACCCAUCCCGAACACGACCGUUAAGCCCUCCAGCGCCGAUGGUACUUGGACCGCAGGGU